ensembl:snoRNA small nucleolar RNA SNORD75
AGCCUGUGAUGCUUAAUACAGAGUAGUGGACAGAAGGGAUUUCUGAAACGUUUGCUUCUGAGGCU